AUUGCUACUGAGGAUGAAGGAAAACAGAGAUACAAUAAGCAUAAAGAAAAAAAACAUUUGGCUAUAUUUGUAGCCAAAACCUCAAAGCAACCUUAAUGAGAACCUUUUUCUAUCCUUCAACAUACAGUAUGUCUCUAACAUACUAAACAAUUAACAGAUGUUAUUGAAGUGUCAAAGUUGCUCACUCCUAAACUAAAAAAAAAUCACAAAAACAGCACCAUAAAUAGCAAAACACUAAAAUGCCAGAUGUGCGAUGAGUGAUUAAUAUGUACUUGUCAUGUCUACAAACAGCUCUACAUAAACAGCUCUUCAUUUAUGUAAAUCGCACCUGUGUGCUUUCAUUCCUGGAAUCAUUUAGAGCUCAUAUGCAUACAUUAGAGCCUUACAAACCUUGAAGCUUCAACAAAAAUGCAAUUACAUGUACUUGUUUUUCUCCACAGCUUCUAUGUAGUCCAUGGAAUAUAGUCCAUUCUCCUUCCGACUGUUGUCAUAGCAAAACACUGGCUGUCCAUUGUGUCCAAGGGCAUAAUUGGAAGAUCUGGAGAUCGGAAAGCGU